GGCUGUUGCUCCUCCUGAAGGACAGGUCCUCUGAGGCCUUAGGGCCGUUCUCCAUGUCACCUCAUACGCCCCCUGACACACCCAGACGAGGGCCUCCUCCACUGGACCUGCUGGACUGGUGGUAAUGUCCAGAUGGAGCAAAUGGUCGUUCACUGUCAAUAGCUGGUGAUCUCUUUGCCAUCUACGAUCUCCUUGGUGAUGAUGACCACCCUGCGAGUGGAGGUGGUGGAGGAGGUGCUGUGAGGGUGAACCACAGGGAUUAGUGAUGGCAGCCUCCUGUACU